UGACUGGCUGGAAUAGAUUUCCAAGGAUGA
rnacentral:piRNA from 1 species